UACGAAGGGGGCUAGCGUUGCUCGGAAUCACUGGGCGUAAAGGGUGCGUAGGCGGGUCUUUAAGUCAGGGGUGAAAUCCUGGAGCUCAACUCCAGAACUGCCUUUGAUACUGAGGAUCUUGAGUUCGGGAGAGGUGAGUGGAACUGCGAGUGUAGAGGUGAAAUUCGUAGAUAUUCGCAAGAACACCAGUGGCGAAGGCGGCUCACUGGCCCGAUAUUGACGCUGAGGAGCGAAAGCGUGGGGAGCGAACAGG
rnacentral:rRNA from 1 species